UACGAAGGGGGCUAGCGUUGUUCGGAUUUACUGGGCGUAAAGCGCACGUAGGCGGAUCGUUAAGUUAGGGGUGAAAUCCCAGGGCUCAACCCUGGAACUGCCUUUAAUACUGGCGAUCUAGAGUCCGGAAGAGGUGAGUGGAACUCCUAGUGUAGAGGUGGAAUUCGUAGAUAUUAGGAAGAACACCAGUGGCGAAGGCGGCUCACUGGCCCGGUACUGACGCUGAGGUGCGAAAGCGUGGGGAGCAAACAGG
rnacentral:rRNA from 1 species